GGCGUGCUUACCAUGCAAGUCGAACGGUAAGGCCCCUUCGGGGGUACACGAGUGGCGAACGGGUGAGUAACACGUGGGUAAUCUGCCCUGCACUUCGGGAUAAGCCUGGGAAACUGGGUCUAAUACCGGAUAUGAGCUCCUGCCGCAUGGUGGGGGUUGGAAAGUUUUUUCGGUGCAGGAUGAGCCCGCGGCCUAUCAGCUUGUUGGUGGGGUAAUGGCCUACCAAGGCGACGACGGGUAGCCGGCCUGAGAGGGUGAUCGGCCACACUGGGACUGAGACACGGCCCAGACUCCUACGGGAGGCAGCAGUGGGGAAUAUUGCACAAUGGGCGGAAGCCUGAUGCAGCGACGCCGCGUGGGGGAUGACGGUCUUCGGAUUGUAAACCCCUUUCAGUAGGGACGAAGCGCAAGUGACGGUACCUGCAGAAGAAGCACCGGCCAACUACGUGCCAGCAGCCGCGGUAAU
rnacentral:rRNA from 1 species